AUUGAACGCUGGCGGCAGGCCUAACACAUGCAAGUAGCACGAGUGGGGGAGGGGUGAGUAAUGUCUGGGACACUGCCUGAUGGAGGGGGAUACCUACUGACAACGGUAGUUAAUACCGCAUACCAUCGGAUGUUCCACGCUGGGAUUAGCUAGUAGGUAGGGUAAAGGCUCACCACGGAUACGAUCACUAGCUGGUCUGAGAGGAUGAGCAGCCACACUGGAACUGAGACACGGUCCAGACUCCUACGGGAUGCAGCAGUGGGGAAUCUUGCACAAUGGGCGCAAGCCUGACGCAGCAAGGCCGCGUGAAUGAAGAAGGCCUUCGGGUUGUAAAGUACUGUCAGCAGGGAGGCGUUACCCGUACAAAAAGCCCCGGCUAACUCCGUGCCAGCCGCCGCGGUAAUUC
rnacentral:rRNA from 1 species